UACGUAGGGUGCGAGCGUUGUCCGGAAUUAUUGGGCGUAAAGAGCUCGUAGGCGGUGUGUCGCGUCGAUCGUGAAAACUUUCAGCUUAACUGGGAGCUUGCGGUCGAUACGGGCAUCACUGGAGUUCGGCAGGGGAGACUGGAAUUCAAGGUGUAGCGGUGAAAUGCGCAGAUAUCUUGAGGAACACCGGUGGCGAAGGCGGGUCUCUGGGCCGAUACUGACGCUGAGGAGCGAAAGCUAGGGUAGCAAACGGG
rnacentral:rRNA from 1 species